UGGGGAAUAUUGGACAAUGGGCGAAAGCCUGAUCCAGCCAUGCCGCGUGUGUGAAGAAGGUCUUCGGAUUGUAAAGCACUUAAAGUUGGGAGGAAGGGCAGUAAGCGAAUACCUUGCUGUUUUGACGUUACUGACAGAAUAAGCACCGGCUAACUCUGUGCCAGCAGCCGCGGUAAUACAGAGGGUGCAAGCGUUAAUCGGAAUUACUGGGCGUAAAGCGCGCGUAGGUGGUUCGUUAAGUUGAAUGUGAAAGCCCCGGGCUCAACCUGGGAACUGCAUCCAAAACUAGCAAGCUAUAGUAGGGCAGAUGGUAGUGGAAUUUCCUGUGUAGCGGUGAAAUGCGUAGAUAUAGGAAUAAACCCCAUUGGCGAAGGCGACCACCUGGGCUCAUACUGACACUGAGGUGCGAAAGCGUGGGGAGCAAACAGG
rnacentral:rRNA from 1 species